GGAGCGGAGCCGCCGGAGCCCGUGGCCCUUCCCGGCCCCUGCCCGGCCCCGGCCCGGCCGGGCCAGGCUCCGAAAGCGCUGCCGGUACCGGGGGCGCGGGGCCGAGAGGGGCGGCGAUCACCCCCCCCCCGAACCCCCCCCCGGAGCCCCGGCGGGCCCUGCCCGGAGCGCGGCCGCCACGGGACGGGAGCAUGCGGAUCCUCCUCCUGUGCCUGCUGACUCUCGCCGGGACCCGCGGGCAAGGAUUGCUUUAAUCCCGCCGUCCUAAAUCCCACCUGGAUGGAUCCUGGGAAUGCCCGGCCCGGCUGCGGCUCCGGGGGGUCCAUCCCGGAGCCCCCCGCCCCUCUCCGGGGAAUGAUGUCCCCAUAAAGAUCCCCCCCCCCCCCCUAAUUGCUCGCCUUACCUCGAGGUUUUAUCAUCAAAGCCUCGCCGCAAUUCCCUC